AACCCAUGGUGAGGGCAUCUUUGUAAAAGGUCCUUGUAUCUCUCCCAUGCAUCGUAGAGUGUUUUUAAAUACAUCUGCACAAAAGAGGAGAUAUCAUUACGUAAUUU
rnacentral:snoRNA from 1 species